GUGAACUUUAACAACCUGUGCUGUAUUCACAAUAGACACUUCUAGAUUGGCGAUCUCUGUGGUCCCAGCAAGACGAAGAGUCUUUGUUAGCAGACCAAGAGAAAGCAACUGAAGAACGUCAGCAACGACUGGCGGCAUAUAAAGAACCGUCAAGUGGACUGCUGGUGAAGUUCAAAUAUCCGAAUGGAUUCAUCAGGAAGAGAACUUUCAAUGUGUCGGACCCAAUUCAGGUAAUGUGUUCAUUCAGAGAAUCUAUCUUAUUUAUUUUCAAGUAACUGAAAUUGCAUUACCCUUUUUUAAGGUUUUGUUUGACUCAAGUGAAAUAAAUAUUCAGUGUUCAACAAGCAGCAUCAUCCACACCAGCUGAGAGUCACUUAUGGAUCCUGGCAUAACAACAUCUGCAACUCUCUACGUGUUUUGGAUUUCAACUCUAGAUAUUCAGGUAAAGUCCAAAUUCCAUACAAUGUCGUCUCGGUAUUUUUGAUUUUUCCCCCCAAAAUAUUUCAGAAUGCCACAACUAGACUUUUGACUGGAUCCCAGAAACGAGAGCAUUUAACACCAGAAUCGGCUUCCCUGCAUUGGUUACCAGUUUGUUAUCGGAUUGAUUUGAAGUCUUUCAUUGGUUUUUGAAACUUGACAUGGCCUCGCUCCAGCUCAUCGUCACAGCCAUCCCAGUGCUGGAACACUUUGGUCAAAUAAUAAGUUGCUCUUACAUAUUCCUUGGACUGAGCGACAGUGAAGAGGAGCAGCGUUCGCUGCCACUGCUCCUAAUGUUUGGAACAACUUUCUAAUUUUUUAACAUUUGAUCUGCUCACAGGCUGGAACAUUUCAUAUCGCUCCUUAAAACUCAUUUUUAUUCUUUGGCUUUUUGUCAGGCCUGACUUUGUAAUUUUCUUGUCUGUUUUAAUUUGUGUUUUUGUCUGUGCUACAUGAAUACUGCACAGACCUUUGGUGCAAUAAAAUCGGUUUUGAAAGUGCUUCAUAGAUAAAAUUGACAUUGA